rnacentral:rRNA from 1 species
GACGAACGCUGGCGGCGUGCUUAACACAUGCAAGUCGAGCGGUAAGGCCCUUUCGGGGGUACACGAGCGGCGAACGGGUGAGUAACACGUGGGUGACCUGCCUCUAGCUCUGGGAUAAGCCCGGGAAACUGGGUCUAAUACUGGAUAUGACUCCAUGACGCAUGUUGUGGGUGGAAAGCCUUGUGCGGCUAGAGAUGGGCCCGCGGCCUAUCAGCUUGUUGGUGGGGGAUGGCCUACCAAGGCGACGACGGGUAGCCGGCCUGAGAGGGCGACCGGCCACACUGGGACUGAGACGACGGCCCAGACUCCUACGGGAGGCAGGCAGUGGGGAAUCUUGCGCAAUGGCGAAAGCCUGACGCAGCGACGCCGCGUGAGGGAUGACGG